GGUCAAGCUACAAAGGGCUCACGGUGGAUACCUUGGCACACAGAGGCGAUGAAGGACGUAGUUACCUGCGAUAAGUCUCGGGGAGCUGGAAACACGCUUUGAUCCGGGAAUUUCCGAAUGGGGCAACCCCUAGAACGGCCAGCUGAAUCCAUAGGCUGGCACGAGCCAACCCAGCGAACUGAAACAUCUUAGUAGCUGGAGGAAAGGAAAGUAAAAACGACUCCCUAAGUAGCGGCGAGCGAACGGGGAAGAGCCUAAACCGAUGGUUCCGACCAUCGGGGUUGUGGGACAGCAACGUGGACCAGUGACGUUAGUGGAAGCGUUUGAAAGGCGCGCCAUAGAGGGUGAAAGCCCCGUACGCGAAAACGAAUCUGGCCUAGCUGUAUCCCGAGUAGUACGGAGCACGUGAAAUUCCGUAUGAAUCUGCGAGGACCACCUCGUAAGGCUAAGUACUCCUGUGUGACCGAUAGCGCAACAGUACCGCGAGGGAAAGGUGAAAAGAACCCCGGGAGGGGAGUGAAAUAGAACAUGAAACCGUGAGCUUACAAGCAAUGGGAGCCCGACUGAUCGGGUGACCGUGUGCCUGUUGAAGAAUGAGCCGGCGACUUAUAGGCACUGGCAGGUUAAACCGGGAAUGGUGGAGCCAUAGCGAAAGCGAGUCUGAAUAGGGCGAUCGUCAGUGUUUAUAGACCCGAACCCGGGUGAUCUAACCAUGGCCAGGAUGAAGCUUGGGUGAUACCAAGUGGAGGUCCGAACCGACUGAUGUUGAAAAAUCAGCGGAUGAGCUGUGGUUAGGGGUGAAAUGCCAAUCGAACCCGGAGCUAGCUGGUUCUCCCCGAAAUACGUUGAGGCGUAGCGUCUAGUGCUAUAGCAGGGGGGUAAAGCCACCGUUUCGGUGCGGGCUGCGAGAGCGGUACCAAAUCGAUACGAACUCUGAAUACCCUGUGUGAAACUAGGCA
rfam:Synechococcus sp. WH 5701 scf_1099465003791 genomic scaffold, whole genome shotgun sequence.